UUAACACAUGCAAGUCGAACGAUGACGAUGGUGCUUGCACCGUCUGAUUAGUGGCGAACGGGUGAGUAACACGUGAGUAACCUGCCCUCUCUUCGGGAUAACCGCCGGAAACGGUGGCUAAUACCGGAUAUGAAUGCCUGCCGCAUGGUGGGUGUUGGAAAGAUUUAUCGGUGGGGGAUGGACUCGCGGCCUAUCAGUUUGUUGGUGAGGUAAUGGCUCACCAAGGCGAUGACGGGUAGCCGGCCUGAGAGGGCGACCGGCCACACUGGGACUGAGACACGGCCCAGACUCCUACGGGAGGCAGCAGUGGGGAAUAUUGCACAAUGGGCGAAAGCCUGAUGCAGCGACGCCGCGUGGGGGAUGACGGCCUUCGGGUUGUAAACCUCUUUCAGCAGGGAAGAAGCGAGAGUGACGGUACCUGCAGAAGAAGCGCCGGCUAACUACGUGCCAGCCGCCGC
rnacentral:rRNA from 1 species